UACGCAGGUGGCAAGCGUUACUCGGAAUUACUGGGCGUAAAGGGUGAGUAGGCGGCUGGGCAAGUCAAGGAUGAAAGCCCGAGGCUCAACUUCGGAACCGUCCUUGAAACUGCUCAGCUUGAGGGUAGUUGAGGAGAGCGGAAUUCCCGGUGGAGCGGUGAAAUGCGUAGAUAUCGGGAGGAGCACCUGAGGCGAAGGCGGCUCUCUAAGCUAUUCCUGACGCUGAAUCACGAAAGCUAGGGGAUCAAACGGG
rnacentral:rRNA from 1 species